AGCGCAUGUAGGCAUGUAGUUUUUCGUAUACGAAGCAAAUGUGUUCUUGAUGAUUUGUGGCUAAGGUGUUUUUGGGGAUAGACUUCUUCGGCGACCGUUUUCGCUCUGAAAUGUAAGUUGAUGUGUGUCCCCGUCGAUUACGGGUAGAGCCAGCGUCAGUGAUGAAGCAGCGUGUUGUGAGAUGGUUAACUUAUUUGGCUUGUUUUUAAAACUAAUCAAAAGGUGUUGCAAAGUAAUGUAGCCAAAUUGCUGUAGAAGAUUGUUCUUUAUUUGUUAUUUGGAUUUGCACAGAAGGUUGUUAGUUUCCUUUGUGUUAGACCGCGUCCAUACGGCAUAGUAGCGUAGCGAUUUUGACACUCCGUCGUAGCGUAAAUGUUGGUCGAGAGGCCUUAGCCACGGCCAUAAAAAAUAGUUGAGACGACGGUAAGUGAAAACUACGAUGGAGUGUUAAAAUUGCUACGCUACGAUGAGGUGUAGACGCGGUCUUAUAGUAAGGAAAGCUCAUAAUGAGAACAAAAUCGAUUGAAAAUAGCUGUUUCAGUAGAAAAACAAAUGUAGAGUUAACUGAACUACGUUACUUAUGGUGUGGAGAAAAGGUUUGCUCUCUGGUACAGAAACUGGAAAAAUCAGAUGUGGAAGUGCCAAUAUUUUAAUAUUUGUGUACGUCAUGGAAACAGAGCGGAGCUGCUCACUCGAUCAUUCGUGCUAAAUGUGCACUGCUAGAUUUUGAAUGUAGUGUGAACGAGCAUACAAGAAAAAUUGAAGCAUUUAACGAAGUUAAUAUAUUCG